rnacentral:rRNA from 1 species
GGUUCGAUUUUGGCUCAGAUUGAACGCUGGCGGAUGCUUUACACAUGCAAGUCGAACGGCAGCACGGACUUCGGUCUGGUGGCGAGUGGCGAACGGGUGAGUAAUGUAUCGGAACGUGCCUAGUAGCGGGGGAUAACUACGCGAAAGCGGUAGCUAAUACCGCAUACGCCCUUCGGGGGAAAGCGGGGACCUUCGGGCCUCGCACUAUUAGAGCGGCCGAUAUCGGAUUAGCUAGUUGGUGGGGUAAAUUCACCAAGGCGACGAUCCGUAGCUGGUUUGAGAGGACGACCAGCCACACUGGGACUGAGACACGGCCCAGACUCCUACGGGAGGCAGCAGUGGGAAUUUGGACAAUGGGGGAAACCCUGAUCCGCUCAUCCCGCGUGUGCGAUGAAGGCUCGGGUUGUAAAGCACUUUUGGCAGGAAAGAAACGGCACGGAGGAUACGGCCUCGUGCAACUGACGGUACCUGCAGAAUAAGCACCGGCUAACUACGCCAGCAGCCGCGGUAAUACGUAGGGUGCAAGCGUUAAUCGGAAUUACUGGGCGGAAGCGUGCGCAGGCGGUUCGGAAAGAAAGAUGUGAAAUCCCAGAGCUUAACUUUGAACUGCAUUUUUAACUACCGAGCUAGGAGUGUGUCAGAGGGAGGUGGAAUUCCGCGUGUAGCAGUGAAAUGCGUAGAUAUGCGGAGGAACACCGAUGGCGAAGCGCAGCCUCCUGGGAUAACACUGACGCUCAUGCACGAAAGCGUGGGGAGCAAACAGGAUUAGAUACCCUGGUAGUCCACGCCCUAAACGAUGUCAACUAGCUGUUGGGGCCUUCGGGCCUUGGUAGCGCAGCUAACGCGUGAAGUUGACUGCCUGGGGAGUACGGUCGCAAGAUUAAAACUCAAAGAAUUGACGGGACCCGCACAAGCGGUGGAUGAUGUGGAUUAAUUGAUGCAACGCGAAAACUCUCAUCACCCUUGAUGUCUGGAAUCCCGAAGAGAUUUGGGAGUGCUCGCAAGAGAACCGGAACACAGGUGCUGCAUGGUUGUCGUCAGCUCGUGUCGUGAGAUGUUGGGUUAAGUCCCGGCAACGAGCGCAACCCUUGUCAUUAGUUGCUACGAAAGGGCACUCUAAUGACUGCCGGUGACAAACCGGAGGAAGGUGGGGAUGACGUCAAGUCCUCAUGGCCCUUAUGGGUAGGGCUUCACACGUCAUACAAUGGUCGGGACAGAGGGUCGCCAACCCGCGAGGGGGAGCCAAUCCCAGAAACCCGAUCGUAGUCCGGAUCGCAGUCUGCAACUCGACUGCGAAGUCGGAAUCGCUAGUAAUCGCGGAUCAGCAUGUCGCGGUGAAUACGUUCCCUGGUCUUGUACACACCGCCCGUCACACCAUGGGAGUGGGUUUUACCAGAAGUAUAGCCUAACCGUAAGGAGGGCGAUUACCACGGUAGGAUUCAUGACUGGGGUGAAGUCGUAACAAGGUAG